rnacentral:rRNA from 1 species
AUGGCUAAAACAUGCAAGUCGAACGCGAAAGGCGCAAGCCGAGUAGAGUGGCGAAAGGGCGAGUAAUGCGUUUCUAACGUACCCCGGACUCGGCAAUAGCUCGCCGAAAGGCGGAUUAAUGGCCGAUGAUGCCCCCGUCCCGCAUGGGAUGGUGGCCAAAGGUUUACUGGUCUGGGAGCGGGGAACGUCCUAUCAGCUAGUUGGUGAGGUAACGGCUCACCAAGGCGAAGACGGGUAGCGGGUGUGAGAGCACGGCCCGCCGCAUCGGGACUGAGACACUGCCCGG